rnacentral:rRNA from 1 species
GGGGGCCGCACAACGGUGGAGCAUGUGGUUUAUCGAUCAACGCGAAGACCCUACCUGGUCUUGACAUCCACAGACUUCCAGAGAUGGAUUGGUGCCUUCGGGAACUGUGAGACAGGUGUGCAUGGCUGUCGUCAGCUCGUGUUGUGAAAUGUUGGGUUAAGUCCCGCAACGAGCGCAACCCUUAUCCUUUGUUGCCAGCGGUCCGGCCGGGAACUCAAAGGAGACUGCCAGUGAUAAACUGGAGGAAGGUGGGGAUGACGUCAAGUCAUCAUGGCCCUUACGACCAGGGCUACACACGUGCUACAAUGGCGCAUACAAAGAGAAGCGACCUCGCGAGAGCAAGCGGACCUCAUAAAGUGCGUCGUAGUCCGGAUUGGAGUCUGCAACUCGACUCCAUGAAGUCGGAAUCGCUAGUAAUCGUAGAUCAGAAUGCUACGGUGAAUACGUUCCCGGGCCUUGUACACACCGCCCGUCACACCAUGGGAGUGGGUUGCAAAAGAAGUAGGUAGCUUAACCUUCGGGAGGGCGCUUACCACUUUGUGAUUCAUGACUGGGGUGAAGUCGUAACAAGGUAACCUCAGUCAGUCA